CCGAGCACAUGGGCCCGCGGGCCGGGCAGGCUCCGGGCGGCCGGGACUAGGAAAGGCGGCGAGGAGCCGUGAAGAAGGAUGGGCCCUGGCACCCCGGAACCCCCAGACUGGAUUUCCACGCGGAAAGGAUGUUGGUGGUCCCGGUGACCUGCGGAGAUACGGCUUGAUUCACCCUCCA
rfam:Otolemur garnettii contig010389, whole genome shotgun sequence.